AUCGCGAUGAAAACAACCAUCAAUCUCUGUUUGAGCUAGGUGCUGCUUUUGUAAUUUUCCCCGGAAUCCCAUUAUUUCCCGUUGUGCAAAUAUCUCACCAAUACCAGAAAUCUAAGGAAAGCCGCCGAUGGAUCAGUGAAGCAAAUGAUGAGACCUCGGGAGUUGAUCAUCCUUAAAAGCAAGGAGGCGCGGACCACACAGCGCUGCAACACCAGAAAUCCAUCAGCCACCUUGUUUCGUUUAAUAAGGUUACUCGCAGCGAAAGCAAGAAAUGGACUCGAUCCCGGUCAACAUGCAAAUGAACUGGAUUGAUCCUUUGCCGGAGGAGGAUACCCGUACACUGGCAGCGAAUUCCGUGACGUUAAAGUGAAUGCAGGAUGUUCCGGAAUGGAAGAAGGCCAUCAUCAUCGGCGGUUAGAAAUCAUCGUACGGCAAAAAUUCAGACAUGAGUUUGGAUGAACAGCGUCAAUCGCUUCUAAAAGCUGAGAGACAAUCUCAUUAAAGCUGUGACGGGUAAUCUAAUUUUGAUUGUCAUCGAAGAGACCGGUUCCGGUUAAUCUACACAAAUUACUUGGCCGAAUGUGACUUCAUUGUCCGGGGGAAGAUUCCGCGUCGUAUGGCCGCCAUGUCCGUAGCAAAGCGAGUUGCCGAGGAGUACGUUUGCCGCCGUAGGCAGGAAGUCGGUUAUACGAACCAUUUCGAGGCCUGCAUCCCCUGCACCAGCCAGGAAACGGUCAUCAAGUACAUGACAGACGGUCGGAAAGUCUCGGAAAUUUUGUGCCCGAAGGAAUCAGACGAACUAUUUGGAGGAUGCGUCUCCCAAUACAGACAUGCAAAUCCAUCUUUGCGAACCUCCUGGCGGCAUCCUGCUUUUUCUCACCGGUCAGAUGGAGAUUGACACUGCCUGUGAAAUAAUUCUGUACAUACGAAUGGAAGCCCCUCGGGCCGGAUGUUCCGGAACUGAUUAUCCUGCCGUUGGAAAUGCAAACCCGUGUUUUUGAUCCGGCACCACCUGGCAGUCGAAAAGUGGUGUAUGCGACCAACAUUGUCGAAACUUCCCUCACCAUGGACGGUAUUUACUACGUGGUAGAUCCGGGAUUCGAUUAGCAGAAGGUGUCAUAUUCCAAGACCGGAAUGGACGUCCUCGUCCUUACGUCGAUUUCCCAGCCAUUGCCAAACAGAGACCGAACUGAAAGAAGUUGUAAACGAGGUAAAGCCUACCGCUUGUACACGUAACGCGUGCCUCUAAUACCGGGAAUCUAAGAAAAGAUGUAGAUAGAUCAACAUGAGGAAGCAAAAUGUGAGCCCACGGGAGUUGAUCAUCCGGAAGGAAGGAGACGCGAACCGCAAAGUGCUGCAACAUCGGAAAACUCUCAGCGAUCUUGUUUCCGUAAACGUGGAUCCGGCACAUGUUGCAGCCCACCAAAAAAUAUCCGGCUCUCUGAAGAAUUUCAACAUUGCAGUGGACUUAUGAACCUGUUCAGGAUUCAGCACCCGAUCCAGCCUUUUUUGAUGUACCGUCGACAACCGACGAAGGGGAAACAACCUGCUCAGCUGAAAACAGUCCGAAAGAAUAAUAAGACAGUUGGUUCCUUUUUUUCAUUUUAUUUUAUAUUUUUAUACUAUUCGUUGAAUAAACGUUAUUAUAGUUAUUGUUUUUUUUUAUUACAUAUUAAUGUUCUUUCAGAUUGCAUAAAAUAA